AUGAGUUUCGUCGAAGUUUGACAUUUUGAGAUAAAAUACGGUCCAAGCUAUAAUACCCCGUAUUUAUGGACUAGUACCAUACAAGGUACCAUAUGACCAUAGCCGCGACCGAUAUCGUGCCACGGCUACGACCGACAUCAUGCCAUGGCCAUGCCCUACCACGUCUGACAUCAGGCCUUAGGCAUGCCCUGCUAUGCCCGACGUCCUGCCAUGGCCAUGUCUGACAUCGUUCCAUGGCCGCGUCUGACGUCGGGCCAUGGCCAUGCCCUGCCCCGUCUGAUGUCUUGCCAUGGCCAUGUAAUCCCUCGUGCCAUGUCUUGCCAUGUCCUGCGUCGUGCCAUGGCCAAGACCUGCCACGUCCGGCAUCGUGCCAUGGCCGCGUCUGACAUCGUGCCAUGGCCGCGUCUGACAUCGUACCAUGGCCGCGUCUGACAUCGUCCACGCCCUGCCUGGUACUGGCAUUGCUCAUGGCAGCAUCUGGUUUUUGGCAACGGAAUGAUGGAGCGUCAUGCGCACGGUGCCGCAAGGUGCCAUGCGUGUGGGGCUAAGCUCAGUACAUGUCGAAUGUUGUAUGGUUAUUAUGGGUUGUGUCUGUGCCUUUAACUUGUGGCGCCUUCUUCGUGCGGGCUUCUUCACCGACCUUGAUCUUCUUUUGAACUAUGCCUGAGUAGGGCGAAGCUAGAGGAAACUCUGGUAGAGGCCCGCAGCGAUACUGACAUGCAAAUUNCCUAUUCUCAAACUUUAAAUAGGUAGGACGGUGCGACUGCUUUGUUGAGCCACACCACAGAAUCAAGAGCUCCAAGUGGGCCAUUUUUGGUAAGAAGAACUAGCGAUGCGGGAUGAACCGGAAGUCAGGUUAUAGUGCCAAACUACGCGCUAACCUAGAUCCCACAAAGGAUGUUGGUCGAUUAAGACAGCAGGACGGUGGUCAUGGAAGUCAAAAUCCGCUAAGGAGUGUGUAACAAAUCACCUGCUGAAUCAACUAGCUCCAAAAAUGGAUGGCGCUUAAGCGCGUGACUUACACCCGGACGUCGGGGCAAGUUCCAAGCCUCGAUGAGUAAGAGGGCGCGGCGGUCACUGUAAAACCUUAGGCGUGAGUCUGGGCAGAGCGGCCUUCAGUGCAGAUCUUAGUGGUAGUAGCAAAUAUUCAAAUGAGAACUUUGAAAGCCGAAGAGGGGAAAGGAUCCAUGUGAACGUCACUUUCACAUGGGUUAGUCAAUCCUAAGGGUCGGGGGAACCCUGACAGAUAGCGCGUUUUACGCGUACUCUGAAAGGGAAUCAGGUUAAAAUUCCUGAACUAGGGCGUGGCGGUUGACGGCAACAUUAGGAAGUCCGACGACGUUGGCGGGGGCCUCGGGAAGAGUUAUCUUUUCUGUUUAACAACCUGCUCACCCUGGAAAUUACUCAGUCGAAGGUAGGGUCCAGCGGCUGGAAGAGCACCGCACGUCGCGUGGUGUCCGGUGCGCCCCCGGCGGCCCUUGAAAAUUUGGAGGACCGAGUGUCGUCCAUGCCCGGUCAUACUCAUAACCGCAUCAGGUCUCCAAGGUGAACAUCCUCUGGUCGAUGGAACAAUGUAGGCAAGGGAAGUCAACAAAAUGGUUCCGUAACUUCGGAAAAAGGAUUAUCUCUAAGGGUUGGGGACAGGGGUCCCAGUCGUGAACCCAUCGGCUAUCGGCGGACUGCUCGAUCUGCUCCUGCGGCGAGAGCGGGUCACCGCAUGCUGGCCGGGGAACGGACUGGAAACGGCUCCUUCAGGGGCCUUCCCCGGGCGUCGAAAAACAAACUUAGAACUGGUACGGACAAGGGGAAUCUGACUGUUUAUUUAAAACAAAGCAUUGCGAUGAUCCCUGCGGAUGUUUAUGCAAUGUGAUUUCUGCCAAUGCUCUGAAUGUCAAAGUGAAGAAAUUCAACCAAGCGCGGAUAAACGAUGGGAGUAACUAUGACUCUUUUAAGGUAGCCAAAUGUAUCGUCAUCAAAUUAGUGACGCACAUGAAUGGAUUAACGAGAUUCCCACUAUCCUUGUAUACUAUCCAGCAAAAUCACAGUCAAGGGAACGGGCUUGGCAGAAUCAGCAGGGAAAGAAGACCCUGUUAAGCUUGACUCUAGUCCGGCUCUUUGAAAUGACUUGAGAAUCGGGGCACUGCCCCUCUUUUUGGACCCAAAGCUUGCUUGUAGGCCGAUCCGGGCGGAAGACAUUGUUAGGUAGGGAGUUUGGCUUGGGCGACACAUCUGUUAAAAGAUAACGCAGGUGUCCUAAGAUGAGCUCAAUGAGAACAUAAAUCUCGUGUGGAGCAGAAGGGUAAAAGCUCGUUUGAUUCUAAUUUCAAAUACAAAUAGGAACCGUGAAAGCGUGGCCUAACAAUCCUUUAGACCUUCGAAAUUCGAAGCUAUAGGUGUCAGAAAAGUUACCACAGGGAUAACUGGCUUGUGGCACCCAAGCGUUCAUAGAGACGUUGCUUUUUGAUCCUUUGAUGUCGUCUCUACUUAUCAUUGUGAAGCAUAAUUCACCAAGUGUUGGAUUGUUCACCCACCAAUAGGGAACGUGAGCAGGGUUUAGACCGUCGUGAGACAGGUUAGUUUUACCCUACUGAUGAUAGUGUCGCAAUAGUAAUUCAACCUAGUACUAGAGGAACCAUUGAUUAGCACAAUUGGUCAUCGCGCUUGGUUGAAAAUCCAUUAGAAACU
rnacentral:rRNA from 1 species